CAGAAGCAGAAUUCAGCAAUGUUUGGCUGUGAUGGAGCAAUACAGGAGAGCAGUAGAACGAACAAGGAUAAUCACCAACUUCUCUUCCAGAAAAAUCUGAAAGAAAUGCAACGGCUCCUUGAAAAACAGCAUCUCAACAACUUGGAGGCCCAACAGGAUUAUAAAGAUUCCUAAAAUUCUUUACUUUCCUACAGGGCAAUAAAGUUCUAUGUGAACCUUUACCAAUA